CGGAAUCUGGGAGGACCAUCUCCUAAGGCUAAAUACUCUCUAGUGACCGAUAGUGAACCAGUACCGUGAGGGAAAGGUGAAAAGUACCCCGGAAGGGGAGUGAAAGAGAACUUGAAACCGUGUGCUUACAAGUAGUCAGAGCCCGUUAAUGGGUGAUGGCGUGCCUUUUGUAGAAUGAACCGGCGAGUUACGAUCUGAUGCAAGGUUAAGCAGAAAAUGUGGAGCCGUAGCGAAAGCGAGUCUGAAUAGGGCGAAUGAGUAUUUGGUCGUAGACCCGAAACCAGGUGAUCUACCCUUGGUCAGGUUGAAGUUCAGGUAACACUGAAUGGAGGACCGAACCGACUUACGUUGAAAAGUGAGCGGAUGAACUGAGGGUAGCGGAGAAAUUCCAAUCGAACUUGGAGAUAGCUGGUUCUCUCCGAAAUAGCUUUAGGGCUAGCCUCAAGUGAUGAUUAUUGGAGGUAGAGCACUGUUUGGACGAGGGGCCCCUCUCGGGUUACCGAAUUCAGACAAACUCCGAAUGCCAAAUAAUUUAACUUGGGAGUCAGAAUGUGGGUGAUAAGGUCCAUAUUCGAAAGGGAAACAGCCCAGACCACCAGCUAAGGUCCCAAAAUAUAUGUUAAGUGGAAAAGGAUGUGGCGUUGCCCAGACAACUAGGAUGUUGGCUUAGAAGCAGCCAUCAUUUAAAGAGUGCGUAAUAGCUCACUAGUCGAGUGACACUGCGCCGAAAAUGUACCGGGGCUAAACAUAUUACCGAAGCUGUGGAUUGUCCUUUGGACAAUGGUAGGAGAGCGUUCUAAGGGCGUUGAAGCAUGAUCGCAAGGACAUGUGGAGCGCUUAGAAGUGAGAAUGCCGGUGUGAGUAGCGAAAGACGGGUGAGAAUCCCGUCCACCGAUUGACUAAGGUUUCCAGAGGAAGGCUCGUCCGCUCUGGGUUAGUCGGGUCCUAAGCUGAGGCCGACAGGCGUAGGCGAUGGAUAACAGGUUGAUAUUCCUGUACCACCAUUAUUCGUUUUAAGCGA
rnacentral:rRNA from 1 species